rnacentral:rRNA from 1 species
GUUGAUCCUGCCGGACCCCACUGCUAUCGGGAUAGGACUAAGACAUGCUAGUUGAGCGCUUCCAGCCAACACGGGAGCGCAGCGCACAGCUCAGUAACACGUGGCUAAUCUGCCCUUGGGAUAGGAACAUCCCCGGGAAACUGGGGCUAAUUCCCAAUAGGCGAAGAACUCUGGAAUGAGUCUUCACCAGAAAAGACGUUUACGUUAUGCUCGUAGGCGUCGCCCAAGGAUGAGGCCGCGACCGAUCAGGUUGUUGGUGAGGUAAUGGCUCACCAAGCCUUUUACCGGUGCGGGCCGCGAGAGCGGGAGCCCGGAGAUGGGCACUGAGACAAGGGCCCAGGCCCUACGGGGCGCAGCAGUCGCGAAAACUUUGCAAUACACGAAAGUGUGACAGGGCUAUCCCGAGUGCCAUCCGCUGAGGAAGGCUUUUACCCAGUCUAGAACGCUGGGGGAAUAAGGAGAGGGCAAGUCUGGUGUCAGCCGCCGCGGUAAUACCAGCUCUUCGAGUGGUGUGGAUGUUUAUUGGGCCUAAAGCAUCCGUAGCUGGCUGAGUUAGUCCCCUGUUAAAUCCACCGAAUUAAUCGUUGGAUUGCGGGGGAUACUGCUCGGCUAGGGGACGAGAGAGGCAGACGGUAUUUCCGGGGUAGGGGUGAAAUCCUAUAAUCCCGGGAAGACCACCAGUGGCGAAGGCUGUCUGCUAGAACGCGCCCGACGGUGAGGGAUGAAAGCUGGGGGAGCGAACCGGAUUAGAUACCCGGGUAGUCCCAGCUGUAAACGAUGCAGGCUAGGUGUUUGGACGGCCACGUGCCGUUCUAGUGCCGCAGGGAAGCUGUUAAGCCUGCCGCCUGGGGAGUACGAUCGCAAGAUUGAGACUUAAAGGAAUUGGCGGGGGAGCACCACAAGGGGUGAAGCUUGCGGUUUAAUUGGAUUCAACGCCGGG